UACGUAGGGUGCGAGCGUUAAUCGGAAUUACUGGGCGUAAAGCGUGCGCAGGCGGCUUUGCAAGACAGAUGUGAAAUCCCCGGGCUCAACCUGGGAACUGCAUUUGUGACUGUAUAGCUAGAGUACGGCAGAGGGGGAUGGAAUUCCGCGUGUAGCAGUGAAAUGCGUAGAUAUGCGGAGGAACACCGAUGGCGAAGGCAAUCCCCUGGACCUGUACUGACGCUCAUGCACGAAAGCGUGGGGAGCAAACAGG
rnacentral:rRNA from 1 species